rnacentral:rRNA from 1 species
GUACCUACGGGGGGCAGCAGUGGGGAAUAUUGCACAAUGGGGGAAACCCUGAUGCAGCAACGCCGCGUGAGUGAAGAAGUCAUUCGUGAUGUAAAGCUCUAUCAGCAGGGAAGAAAAUGACGGUACCUGAGUAAGAAGCCCCGGCUAACUACGUGCCAGCAGCCGCGGUAAUACGUAGGUCCCGAGCGUUGUCCGGAUUUAUUGGGUUUAAAGGGUGCGUAGGCGGGCAUUUAAGCCGGCGGUCAAAUGUCGGGGCUCAACCCCGGCCUGCCGUCGGAACUGGGUGCCUUUAGUGGGCGAGACGG